AGAAAGACGAUAUUAAUAGUGCAACUAAGUUCUUGAUGAGAUGCCUGUGAUGGGAAUAGUUCCCAAUGUUGUGAGCUACACAACCAUUUUGGGUUGUUAUGUAUCACUUGGUGAUUUACUCGGCGCCAAGAGGAUGUUUGAUGAAAUUGUUGAUAGAGGGUGGUUGCCUGAUGCAACGACGUACACUAUCUUGAUGCAUGGUUAUGUUAAGCAAGGGAAGUUUAUUGAUGCAGCUAAGAUAAUGGAUGAGAUGGACGACAAUGGGAUUGGGCCAAAUGAAGUGACAUAUGGAAUUAUGAUUGAGGCAUUUUGCAAGGAAAAGAAGUCCGGUGAAGCUGUUAAUUUACUUAACGAUAUGCUAGAUAAGAGGUAUAUACCAAGCCCAACACUUUGCUCUAAGGUGAUUGAUGUCUUGUGUGAAGAGGGGAAGGUUGAGGAGGCGU
rnacentral:misc_RNA from 1 species